rnacentral:rRNA from 1 species
UGACUGUAGGUGAAAGCUUACAUCUCUUCGGAGCAUUUUACGAGGUGCUGCAUGGUUGUCGUCAGCUCGUGCCGUGAGGUGUCGGGUUAAGUCCCAUAACGAGCGCAACCCUACCUUUAGUGCCAUCAGGUAAUGCUGGGGACUCUAAAGGAACUGCCUACGCAAGUAGUGAGGAAGGCGGGGAUGACGUCAAAUCAGCACGGCCCUUACGUCCAGGGCUACACACGUGCUACAAUGGCCGAUACAGAGGGCAGCUACCUGGUGACAGGAUGCAAAUCUCCAAAGUCGGUCUCAGUUCGGAUCGGAGUCUGCAACCCGACUCCGUGAAGUUGGAUUCGCUAGUAAUCGCGCAUCAGCCAUGGCGCGGUGAAUACGUUCCCGGGCCUU